AUUUACAUAUGCAAGUAUCCGCCUUCCAGUGAGAACGCCCUUUACCCCUAUCAGGAACAAGGAGCCGGUAUCAGGCACACACGCCCAAAACACCUAGCCAUGCCACACCCACAAGGGAACUCAGCAGUGAUUAACAUUAAACAUAAGCGCAAGCUUGRSGGUAGUCAAAGUAAUUUAGGGCCGGCCAAUCUGGUGCCAGCCGCCGCGGCUACACCAUCUGGCUCAAAUUGAUCAUUUUCGGCGUAAAACGUGAUUUAAGGAGUUAAACUAAGCUAAGCUGUNGCACGCCUGCAUAAGAAAAUUYAAAACGAAAGUUACUCUAACACAAUCAACUUGAACCCACGACAGCUGANGAACAAACUGGGAUUAGAUACCCCACUAUGCUCAKCCGUAWACUUUUAUUUUNAUCUUANCCGCCAGGGAWYUACKAGCCAUGCUUAWAACCNAWANGACUWSDSRSGKUHCCCAUAUYYCCCUAGARGRRSCYWUCCUASAAUCRAUAUCCACGUUUAACCUCACCACUUCUAAUUAAUCAACCUGUUAGACCUCGUCGUCAGCUUACUUAGUGAGCCUAAUACUAUCUAUCAGUUAGUCAGGUUAAGGUGCAGCAAAUGAGGUGGAAAGAGAUAGGCUACACUUUUCUACUUUAGAAAAACGAAAAACUACCUAUGAAAUCUAGUUAGAAGGCCAAUUUAGCAGUAAAAAGAAAUCAAAAUAUUCUUUUUAACCUGGCACUGAAGUGCGCACACACCGCCCGUCACCCUCUUCAAAGCUAUGAAUAUAAUCAUUAAUCCCAAAGCUCAAUAGAAGAGGUAUGUCGUAACAUGGUAAGUAUACCGAAAGGUGUGCUUGGAAACGCAAUGUAG
rnacentral:ncRNA from 1 species